rnacentral:lncRNA from 1 species
GUCUUCAGAGCCUGCAGGACUUUGGGCACAUUUUCUGGGGUAAGCAGGUCUUCUUGACUAUAGUCUUCAAAUUUUUCUGGUGGUGCCUUGAACUAUAAUUCUGGCUGUCAUAAUGAUGCCCCAGGCUCUUGCAGUGUAGAAGACAAGAACACUGUUGAUCUCCAUGCCAAAGGGGUGGCUUCCUUGCUUAUAACAACUCAUUCCAGAAGUUAAGCAGGGCUCAUUACCAUGGGACCAGUGUAGAUCAUUCCAUCUUCUGUAGACUGUCCAUGGAGCUGGCUUGAGAAGCCUGUACCAGAGUCACCUGUGUUGUCCCCUUCAGAAAAGCCACUGAGGUGCUAAGAGGCACUGGGGGUGCCAUGCAGUAGGCACAUCUGGUCUGUCAUAGUUAAUGCUGCAUUCAGACCCUUAGGCCAUGUGAAUCCAUGAUGAUGUCUUGAAGAGCUGCUUGGAUACCUUUGCUUCAGCCCCUGCAUCUACCCUGAUCAUUUGCUCUCCAUUUCCCGUGCCAG